rnacentral:lncRNA from 1 species
AAUGAGUCCUUAUAUGAUGUUAUGAAGUAUGUUGGUCUUAUGUCUAAUGUUAAAUGAAGAUGUUAUGACUUGUUGAAUAUGAUGUGCCUAGUCUAUGGUGGCUUCCUAGGAACACUUGGUGUGAGUAGUAUUAUGGGAUGCUAUUUGCACAUUGUACUAGUGUGACUUGGGGGUUGUCUUAGGUGAUGGUUCCUAUGUGAAGACUAUGUCUUAUGGUGUGC